rnacentral:rRNA from 1 species
CCUUGACAUACUAAGAACUUUCCAGAGAUGGAUUGGUGCCUUCGGGAACUUAGAUACAGGUGCUGCAUGGCUGUCGUCAGCUCGUGUCGUGAGAUGUUGGGUUAAGUCCCGCAACGAGCGCAACCUUUUCCUAUUUGCCAGCGGGUCAUGCCGGGAACUUUAAGGAUACUGCCAGUGACAAACUGGAGGAAGGCGGGGACGACGUCAAGUCAUCAUGGCCCUUACGGCCAGGGCUACACACGUGCUACAAUGGUCGGUACAAAGGGUUGCUACCUCGCGAGAGGAUGCUAAUCUCAAAAAGCCGAUCGUAGUCCGGAUCGCAGUCUGCAACUCGACUGCGUGAAGUCGGAAUCGCUAGUAAUCGCGGAUCAGAAUGCCGCGGUGAAUACGUUCCCGGGCCUUGUACACACCGCCCGUCACACCAUGGGAGUUUGUUGCACCAGAAGUAGGUAGUCUAACCGCAAGGAGGACGCUUACCACGGUGUGGCCGAUGACUGGGGUGAAGUCGUAACAAGGUAAGCGUAGAUGA